CCAUGAUUUGAGGUGGGAGCCCAUGUACAAAUCAAAUGCGUUUUGAGUAAUUUACUUAUCAAACCAAACUUCCCACCAAAAUCCCAUAUCAACAAGAUAUUGAUUUUGUUUUGGCUCUCAUCGAUCUUAUAUAAUUGUAAUUCAAGUUUUGUUUGGAAUUCUAUAUAUUCGCAGUUUGAAAGAGUAACUGACAGAGGGUCUUUUUGCUUUUGACUAGAGCUACCUGUAUACAAGAGUGGAAGGAUGAGGGUCGAACUUUUAUGGUAACCACAAAGAACUGAAAAAGUGAAAGAACAUCAGGUGGGCUCUGAUAUAUUAUGGAAAUGGACAAGGAGAAGGAAUGUUUGACUAUGCCUCAAGCUUUGGGAAUUUGCAUGUAUUUUUGCUUCACAGGUGCUAUAUGGGGAUCAUUUUGUUUGAUUAAGAUUAUGAAGAGCAAUGAAGACCAUAAACUAUCAUUAACCUUGGUCGUUUACUUCAUUGUUGUUCGUCAUAUUUUGGUCAUUUUUUUCUUCGCAGUAACUACGAAGUUUUUUGUUGAAGUGGUGCAUGAAGUCAUAACCAGACAAAGAAAAGUUGAGCCUCCCUGGACUGUGGAGGCAGGGGAGUGUAAAUCCAUGGUUUAGUAGUCAAGAUAUGGAUGUUUGAACAGUUCAAAUCAUGGAUGACGUGAAAGCGUGUUGUGUGCUUGCUUGAACUUAUGUGUUCUAGUCUCUCAGCACGCGCUUUCGGCCCCACAUACAUUAGCAAUUUCUUUCUUUACAAUAAAAUUGUUAGUUAUUUGAAGAAAGAUGCUCAAUCCAACUUCUAAAACUCAUUGUCACAA